GACGAACGCUGGCGGCGUGCUUAACACAUGCAAGUCGAACGGAAAGGCCCUGCUUUUGUGGGGUGCUCGAGUGGCGAACGGGUGAGUAACACGUGAGUAACCUGCCCUUGACUUUCGGAUAACUUCAGGAAACUGGGGCUAAUACCGGACAGCAGCCCCCCCUGCAUGGUGGGGGUUGGAAAGUUUCGGCGGUUGGGGAUGGAUUCGCGGCUUAUCAGCUUGUUAGUGGGGUAGUGGCUUACCCAGGCUUUGACGGGUAGCCGGCCUGAGAGGGUGACCGGCCACAAUGGGACUGAGGGACGGCGCAGACUCCUACAGGGGGCAGCAGUGGGGAGUAUUGCACAAUGGGAGGGAGCCUGAUACAGCAACGCCGGGGGCGGGAUGACGGCCUUCGGGGUGUAAACCGCUUUCGCCUGUGACGAAGCGUGAGUGACGGUAAUGGGUAAAGAAGCACCGGCUAACUACGUG
rnacentral:rRNA from 1 species